GAUGAAGAACGUAGUGAAAUGCGAUAAGUAAUGUGAAUUGCAGAUUUCAGUGAAUCAUCGAAUCUUUGAACGCACCUUGCGCCUUGUGGUAUUCCACAAGGCAUGCCCGUUUGAGUAUCAUUAAAUCAUCAACUCUAAAACCUUUGUGGUUUUUUUAGAGCUUGGUCUUGAGGGUUUUGCAGGCUUUUUUUUUUUCGAGUCUGCUCCCUUUAAAUGCAUUAGCGAGACUUCCCUAUGCUGAACCGUCUCUUUGACGUGAUAAUUAUCUGCGUCGAAUUUUGGUUCUCGUUGGGCUUGCUUCUAAUCGUCUGUUAAAGACAAAACGGAUUUGGGUGCAUAUAUGCGCCUUUUUCCAAAACCUUUUUUGAUCUCAAAUCGGGUAGGACUACCCGCUGAACUUAAGCAUAUCAAUAAGCGGAGGA
rnacentral:misc_RNA from 1 species